AGUGGAUGGGGAGCAACCUAGUUGUGCGUGUGUAAAGGUAGUGCCAAGAAAAGCGAUGAUCAUGUUGAAAAUCAAUUCCCGGUACCCGAAACCGACACAGGUGGGCAAGUAGAGAAUACUAAGGGGCGCGAGGUAACUCUCUCCAAGGAACUCGGCAAAAUGACCCCGUAACUUAGGGAGAAGGGGUGCCACCGAGAGGUGGUCGCAGUGAAGAGGCCCAGGCGACUGUUUAGCAAAAACAUAGGUCUCUGCAAACUCGAAAGAGGAGGUAUAGGGGCUGACGCCUGCCCAGUGCCGGAAGGUUAAAGAAGUUGGUCAGUUUUAGGAUGAAGCUAGCGACUGAAGCCCCGGUGAACGGCGGCCGUAACUAUAACGGUCCUAAGGUAGCGAAAUUCCUUGUCGGGUAAGUUCCGACCCGCACGAAAGGCGUAACGAUCUGGGCGCUGUCUCGGAGAGAGGCUCGGCGAAAUAGGAUUGUCUGUGAAGAUACGGACUACCUGCAUUUGGACAGAAAGACCCUAUGAAGCUUUACUAUAGCUUGGAAUUGUGUUCGGGCUUCCUGUGCGCAGGAUAGGUGGGAGGCGUAGAAGGUAUUCUUGUGGGGAUACUGGAGCCAACGGUGAGAUACCACUCUCAGGAGGCUAGAAUUCUAACUUAAUUAAGGACAGUUUCAGGUGGGUAGUUUGACUGGGGCGGUCGCCUCCAAAAAGGUAACGGAGGCGUACAAAGGUUCCCUCAGACUGGUUGGAAAUCAGUCGAAGAGUGCAAAGGCAGAAGGGAGCUUGACUGCGAGAAGUACAGUUCGAGCAGGGUGGAAACACGGUCUUAGUGAUCCGACGGUGCUGUGUGGAAGGGCCGUCGCUCAACGGAUAAAAGUUACUCUAGGAUAACAGGCUGAUCUCCCCCAAGAGUUCACAUCGACGGGGAGGUUUGGCACCUCGAUGUCGGCUCAUCGCAACCUGGGGCGGAAGUACGUCCCAAGGGUUGGGCUGUUCGCCCAUUAAAGCGGUACGUGAGCUGGGUUCAGAACGUCGUGAGACAGUUCGGUCCAUAUCCGAUGUAGGCGUGAGAAUAUUGAGAGGAGCCUUCCUUAGUACGAGAGGACCGGGAAGGACGCACCCUGGUGUACCUGUUAUGAUGCCAAUUGUAAACGCAGGGUAGCCAAGUGCGGAGAGGAUAACCGCUGAAAGCAUCUAAGUGGGAAGCCCACCUCAAGAUGAGUAUUCUGGUGUAAGGUCACGGGAAGACGACCCGUAAAUAGGCACGAGGUGGAAGUGCAGAGAUGUAUGAAGCCGAAGUGUACUAAUAGACCGUCGGCUUGACCU
rnacentral:rRNA from 1 species